rnacentral:lncRNA from 1 species
UGCUCGCCAUUGCUCCCUUUUGUGAGGCCAUUACGGCCGUCCCCCUGCUCCCUGCCCCGGCGUCCUGGAGCCCAGCCGACCACGAGGGUUUUUCUCCGUGUUGUAUCUUCCCGAAAACCCAGAACCCAAACCCAAGAAAGAACCACUCCUGUUGUCCUCUCUCCCCUCCUCCAGUCCCAAUGACAUUUCCCGGCUUUUGUGUGAGAUGACCCAAAAGCAAGCCCUUCUCCACUCCUCCUCCAUGCAAUGGGGUCCCUAAAAGCUACCCUCACUCCCCUUCUCUCUUACUCACCUGGAGGAAGGGGAAUGGAGAGGAUGGACACCAGAGCCUCCUAUUUCCCAGCAUUUCCACACAGGGAAGACAAGCAUCUCACCGUGCGCACUCCGACAGGAGGGCAGGAGGCGGAAAGGUGGAAUAGCCCAGAAGAGCAGGCUGCUGCCCAGGCCCCUAGGCCACAUCCGAAGGACGUUAAGUCUAGAGCCCCAGGAAGGAAGGCGUCCUGGGUCAGUUUCAUUUCACAUAAACGGACUGUCCCUGGAUCCAGGGAAGCGGAUUCUCCCGUUUCCUCCCUGGUGCCUCAGUCUUUUUGGAGGCGCCCUCUGCUGGCCACUGGGAAGUGCAGGAAAGAACAGAGUCCUGCAGACUCAAAGAGCGUCUACAGAAAGGGACAAGAGGUAGAGACAACCGGGAGCCAACUGAGAGCGGUGGCUGGACUGCCACAAAUAAGAGAGGCAUGCUGAAGCCUUCUUGGAGGCCCCGUUCCAGACCCAGCCAGGGUGAAGAGGACUCCCAGGGGCGGAGAUCGAGGCCCAGGAGAGAACAGAGAGCAUCCUGCUUUAAUUGGAGAGCAUGAAGAGGUGGGCAAGGAUGUUCUGGAACACUGACCAUAGUCCAUCCUGAAUGGAAUUGGACUGACUCGACCCUCUCAUCUCCUGGAGCAGCUGGGUCUAAAGUGUGUGUGCACGGGUACAGACGUACAGGAGGAAAAUAUUAGGACGUCGACUCAUGACAACCGUCCCAGGUGGUGUUGACCCUCCUUGACGGGGAAGCUGCGGCUCAGAGAGGAGGAAUGACUGCAGCUGGAAGAGAGGUGGAGCCAGGACUCAGCCUGCGUGGCUGCACCGUCAGCCCGGCACUCACUUUACACCCACCCUGGCCCUCCACAGGCUGGCCUUUCAGGUGGAAGACAAGCCUUGCCCAGGGGGAAAGAAAAUGUGAGUUAGGCUCCUAACUAUCAAAAUAAUAACGGUGAAGACAAGUCAGAGGCCUGCUGGGUUCCAGACACUGUGCAGGCGAGUCAGGUGUUGAACCCAGAACUCCUACCCCCACUCCUCUGGGGCCAGUGCAAUGCCCUGGGCUACACAGCCGGCACAUGCAUGUGUGCACACACACACCCCCAGGUGGUAUGAGUCCCUGCAUGUCCCAGGGGACAGGGUGUCCCAGCCGCUUCGCUCCCCUCUGAUAACCCAGCCGCUUCCAGCAGGACAGGCACGUACCCUUCAGGCUGAC